UAUUCCUGUUUGGGUGGCCAGCACAUAGCACUCUGCCUAGCAACCAACUCCACCCAGCAACAAAGGUCUUCCUGGCAACGUGACCAAAAUCUUGCAGACUAAAAGAAUGAUAACAGGCCCAGUGAUUUCUCAGAUCAUCCAGGGAGCUCUCAACCUGAGAAGAGCAGUUGCUGGACCCCAUGGGCCAUCUUCCAUCCCAGAGUCCAGGGGAAACAAGGCAAUGUGACCACGGCUUCUUGAAGCUGCUACUGGACUGGGGAAACAAAAGGAUGUCACUGUAAUAGUGAAGGAUAGUUCUCUGCAUUUGCUAUGUUGGAAUCUGUGCAAGUUAUCUUAGAAUGGCGUGGAGAUAAUUUACAAAUUAGAGAGGAGAGAGAUAAGAACCAUCUUUGCUUUACUAUACUUGGAGUCUGAAAUCACAUCUGGCCAGAGAGAUGUGCUCCCUCAGACUCUUACAGAAUUAUUAAAAUGCAGGCUUUGCAGCAGCAGCAGUAGUCUCAUCUUCUUUGAGAUUAUGUAGUUUGGCUCACAGUUUCUUUCUUUUUCCAGAAUAAAAAUCACUUGGUAUAGCAAUGAAUACUGCAUUAUGUUCUAGGCUAGUUUUUGACUACUGUCUUAAAUAUGUGAAAGAGAAUGUCAGUGGUCAGUCCUGGACAGUGUUCCAGAAGUAUGAUAUUUGAGUUAUGCAAGACAUAUGAUUGAGAGAUCCACAUCUACAAUUUACUAAUUUAAAAACUGGCACAGGAGUUCAUGUAAUUAGUCAAAUUAAGGGAUCUGUAACUUGUGAAAAGUAGGUAAUUACAUCUUAAAAAUACAGUACGGUAGACAAUCCAGUUGAAACUCUGUUAUUGCCAGUUGAUAAAAACCAGAUUUAAAUAGUUUUUGGAGGAAAAUACCUUUCUUUUAGGAACUUUUUCAAAAUGACUAGUCAUCCUUUAUGUCAUUAUUAAACAUUUAUUAAAUUCCUAAUAUUUGUCAGCCUUUCAGUUUGGCAUUAAGAAUAUAACAAGGAAAUGAACACAGUCUCUGUCCUUGAGGGCACUGCAUGUCUGAUCUCCGCAUUUAUCUGUUAAUACUGAUUACAACACUGGGAUAAAGACCACUAAAGACCAGUUCUGCUGGGGAAGGGAAGGAAGACCUUAUCGAAAAGGAUGGUCUUUGAUCUGAGGUCAAAGGACUAUUUGACUUCAGUUGUAAAGUAAAAAGGGUAGUCAAGCAGGCAAGGGAGGAAAAAUCAAGGGAGGGAAGAAACAAUACACUUAAAGGCACUGGGGAAUAAAAACACACAUAUGAAACUACGGGGACACGACCAUUCAAUGCAAUGUGGGAUCUUGGAAUGAAUCCUGGAACAGAAAAAAUGACAUUCGUGGGAAAACUUAUUGUGAAAUCCAAAUAAAUUCUGUGUUAA